GUGUUUUGAUUCUGCUGUGCCCUCUGACGCCUAUCAAAGUACUCUUCAGUACUCCAUCGAUCAUAGAGGACCUCUCAUAUGUUCGCUCGCAUCCAAUGAACUAUGCAAGACUUCUAGUCCGAUGGUGACUCAGAAUUAGAGUGCUUUAUGGAGGACUAUCUAAGGCUAUAUAGCCCAUCCCAAAGCCUAUGUGUGGCUACCUCCUCGAAGAUCCGAC
rnacentral:lncRNA from 1 species